rnacentral:rRNA from 1 species
AUGACAAGUUUCAAACUAGUAAAGUAUAUCCCUAGGAUAAAGAAGAAGAAAAGUGGGCUAAGGAAACUCGCAAGGAAAGUUCCAACCGAUCGUCUACCUAAGUUCGAGAGAGUUUUCAAAGCACAAAAACUUAUCCCUAUGUCUGUUUUCAAAGCACAAAGAGUUCUUGACGAGAUUCGUUGGCGUUACUACGAGCAAACUGUUAUGAUAAUGAACCUCAUGCCCUAUCGAGCAUCUUAUCCCAUCUUAAAGUUGGUUUAUUCGGCAGUCGCAAAUGCUACUCAUUAUAGGGAUUUUGACAAAGCGAAUUUAUUUAUUACUGAAGCCGAAGUCAGUAGGAGUACUAUUAUGAAGAAUUUCUUCAGACCUCAAGCUCGAGGACGUAGUUUCCCCAUAAAAAAGCAUGUGUCAUAUAACAAUUGUACUAAAUAUAGUAAAGAAAUCUAA